GUCAAAAGUAAUGUAGGUAGGGUUAAGUUUUUGAAUUUGGCGGAUUGUUAUGCUCUUUGUAUAAAUAUUCAAAAGUUUUAAAUGAAGAACUUUUAACUAUGGCAUGUGUAUACAACAAGAAUUUAUUAUUGCAAGUAGUACGAACUCCCGGCAGAAUAGAAGAAAAAACUCUAAAUUUAAUUAUUAACAAAAGCCAAGAGACUUUAGAUUUAAAAUUGCGCGACCCUUCUGUAUAUGCAUUUAAUUACGGCGAAUCUAUCGAUUUGGAGGAUUACCAAAUAAUAAGGGAGAGACAAAAUCUAGAUAUUAAUUUCAAUGAAUUUAAAACCAACUUAUUGGAAAUGUUGACACAGCUACAAAGUAAGGAAAUGUUUUUAAGAUGUGAAAUAUCUGGUCAUCAAGUAUGCACCUUAGUAUUUUUCACUAAAUCAAAAAUUAAAUCAAUUAUUUACUUAACUCUUGACUUACAUGCAACAAGCCAGGAAGAGAUUAUAACUGAACUAAUGAGUAAUUUACAAUGUGUGAAGGAUUUAAAUGAAAGGCUCCAAAUACAGAUGAAUUGUAUGAAAAGAACUAUAAUGGAUAAAGAAAAUGAGGUAAAAGAACUUAUUUAUUUAAAAUCAGAAAUGGAAAGGCAAUUUUACAAUGCUAUUAAAGAUGUAGAACAAAAAAUAAACACACAAUCUCACGAAGUGCAGUGUUUCUUAUUGAGAAGAAUCAACAUACUUUGUGAAAAAUUUCUAAAAACUUUAGAUGCUGUUAACGGUUUAAAAACUGUUUGUUAUUUAAGAUCUGAUUCAAGUGCAAAAUUAAAAAGGACUGCGGAACAAUUGAGAACAGACAACGAUGAAAAACAAGUCUUAAUAGAGCUUCUGAAACAAGAAAAUCAUAGUUUACAAAAUAUGAAAAUGAACACGGAAAAAAAAUUGAAUACUCUUCAGCAAGCAUUAGUUGAAAAAGAUAGCUUGAUUGAAGAACUUCAUGCUAAAAACGGGGAGUUGCUAGCAGAUAUGGAAAAAGCCAGUAUGGUAAUAGCUCAGAAAAAAGUUACAAUUGAAGAACUCUCCAAAGAUGUAGUACAAGCCAAUCAAAUGUUGGUGAAUUUUAAUCAAAAAUAUGAUGCCAAAUGUAAAUUGGUAUGUUUAUGUAAAUAUAUGGUCCGUACAGUAUAAAUACCGUUGCAGGUCAUCCGCGUCAUAGCAAGUGACGUCAUAUGAUACCAACACGAAAUAUUUAAGUCGUAGUUGGACAGUUUAGAAUCUCAGUUAAAAAGUAAGAAUCAUAUUAUUCAUGAAGAGUUAUCGAAAAAUUCAGAACUUCAAAGGGAGUUUGAUGAAUACAAAGCAGUUUUUAA
rnacentral:misc_RNA from 1 species